UGCAGGGGAGAGUAAAGUGGCGUACGGGUGAGUAAUGCGUGGGUAAUCUGCCCUUGAAUCCGGGAUAACAUAUCGAAAGGUGUGCUAAUACCGGAUGAAGUCCAUAGGGCUGCGGUUUUAUGGAUGAAAGGUAGCCUCUACAUGUAAGCUACUGUUUAGGGAUGAGCCCACGUACCAUUAGCUAGUUGGUGGGGUAAGGGCCCACCAAGGCUACGAUGGUUAGCUGGUCUGAGAGGAUGAUCAGCCACACUGGAACUGGAACACGGUCCAGACUCCUACGGGAGGCAGCAGUGAGGAAUUUUGCGCAAUGGGGGCAACCCUGACGCAGCAACGCCGCGUGAGUGAAGAAGGCUUUCGGGUCGUAAAGCUCUGUCGAAGCGGGAAGAAGGUGGGCUAUUUGAACAGGGUAGCCUAUUGACGGUACCGCAGAAGGAAGCACCGGCUAACUCCGUGCCAGCAGCCGCGGUAAUACGGGGGGUGCAAGCGUUAUUCGGAAUUAUUGGGCGUAAAGGGCGCGUAGGCGGUUGAAUAAGUCAGAUGUGAAAGCCCUUGGCUUAACCAAGGAAGUGCAUUUGAUACUAUUUGACUUGAGUAUGGGAGAGGGAAGUGGAAUUCCUGGUGUAGAGGUGAAAUUCGUAGAUAUCAGGAGGAACACCGGUGGCGAAAGCGACUUCCUGGACCAAUACUGACGCUGAGCGCGAAGGCGUGGGGGAGCAAACAGGAUUAGAUACCUGGUAGUCCACGCAGUAAACGGUGAUCACUAGGUGUAGCGGGUAUUGACCCCUGCUGUGCCGCAGUUAACACAUUAAGUGAUCCGCCUGGGGAGUACGAUCGCAAGGUUAAAACUCAAAGGAAUUGACGGGGGCCCGCACAAGCGGUGGAGCAUGUGGUUUAAUUCGACGCAACGCGAAGAACCUUACCUGGGUUUGACAUCUCGGGGAUCCUUAUGAAAGUAGGGAGUGCCUCGAAAGAGGAGCCCGAAGACAGGUGCUGCAUGGCUGUCGUCAGCUCGUGUCGUGAGAUGUUGGGUUAAGUCCCGCAACGAGCGCAACCCUUAUCUUCAGUUACCAUCAUUGAGUUGGGGACUCUGGAGAUACUGCCCCGGUUAACGGGGAGGAAGGUGGGGAUGACGUCAAGUCCUCAUGGCCUUUAUAUCCAGGGCUACACACGUGCUACAAUGGUCCGUACAAAGGGUAGCGAGCCUGCGAGGGUAAGCCAAUCCCGGAAAGCGGAUCUCAGUUCGGAUUGGAGUCUGCAACUCGACUCCAUGAAGUUGGAAUCGCUAGUAAUCGUGGAUCAGCAUGCCACGGUGAAUACGUUCCCGGGCCUUGUACACACCGCCCGUCACACCAUGAGAGUUGGUUGUACCAGAAGUCGUCGGACCAACCCCGCCUUGGCGGGGGGGUAGGCGCCUAAGGUAUGGCUGAUGAUUGGGGUGAAGUCGUAACAAGGUAACCGUA
rnacentral:rRNA from 1 species